AGAGGGAAGAAGUAGAGACACGACAGGGAGGAGCGAGAGAUGCAUACUGGCGUCGACAACAAUGGGCAUGCAGUUUGGUGAGGCUAUGAAGAUUCGAAUAGUGAUAGACAGAAUGGAAGAGAAGUCACAAUUGCAGCACCAGAAGCGGCCAGCAACGGUCUUGGGGCAAUGAUUCUGUAUUCUCUGCUUAUAGGCGUCUUUGCCUGGUGUGGAGCUUUUGAUGCAGAAAAUUCAUAACCUCAUUGUUGUUGUCGAGAUUCUAUUUGCAAUUCGCCAAAAGAGUAUAUAUUCAUUUUUGUCAUCCUCACAGAUCAUGUUUUUCAAUUUUUUUCUUCUCAUCACUCUAAUAACGGAGCAACAGUAUGCAACGAAAAAA